UAUAAAUCAGAUGGGUUUGAUUUUAAAAACUCUUGGUUCCAUUGAGCUCACUAGGAAACUCCAUGAAGGGGGCAAAUUGUUUCACCACAAAAUAAUCGAAUUUCAAAAUCUCCCACGUGAAUUUUAGCAAGUCUAAUUUCCAAGUUCUGUAGGUCACAAAUCAAUUUUCACUUCAAAGUAUGAAAUUGGAAAGCAAUUUAAAAUC
rnacentral:misc_RNA from 1 species